ACAUGUAGAAAAAAAUCCUUGAAAUUCUUACAUGUUGGUUUUCAUGAUUGGUAAUGCUAAUCUAGAACAUUUAAAAAGAUGUAUAGUAUAAUUGCUAUAAAUGUGCAAAUUUUAAGUAUUUAAAAUACUACUCGAGGUCGCGUAGUUUGAAGCAGGGAACAUGUAACGAUAUGGGUUUUUGGGUUUAAAAUAAUGAAUAAUUCAUAAGGAGCAUGAAUAAUGCAAUGUUAUUUUCUGGCUGUUCCUUUUAGUGUACUUACCCCGCCAGCCUAAUUGCCCUAGUUAACAAGUUUGGACAUAUGUUCGUCGACAUUUAGGUCAUUUGAUAAUUCUAUCUUGAGAAUGAUUAUUUGGUAACAGUAUGUCAUCAUCAUUGUCAGUAAUCAAAGUCAACACUCCUUCUGAGUCAAUUUUAUGCGCGACGAGGGGUUGUGGUCAUUGCAUUACGGUAAGAGCGCUACCGCUCACAUGGUUUGUCCUCUUGCGAGCGGGCCGUGAAAGAAGCUCAGACCGAGCCAACCUUUGUCUAAAAGUCGCCCACUUUUCCCUCAUUUUUGGGCUGAGACAUUGCUGUCACAAGCUUUGAAGGUUGACAUCUCAAGUGCAUUACAGGCCUUCUCUAUUUUAUAUCAGGGGUCUUCUUUUAUGGUCUUCAUUGUCGUCUUAUUGGAAUCUUUGUUCGGAUCUUCAUUUGGAUUAUUUUGUAUAAUUGGAGAAAGUGAAUUAAAUUAAAACUUAAUCAAGUGAAUCAGUGUAAACAACCGUCUGAGUGUUCCAGUUCAAUUCUACUUGCUUUCCACCUUACUCUAUCUUCAUGAGGGUGAACCUGACCACCCUUAUCAUCGU